AUACGGAGGGUGCAAGCGUUAAUCGGAAUUACUGGGCGUAAAGCGUACGUAGGCGGUUUAUUAAGUCAGAUGAGAAAGCCCCGGGCUUAACCUGGGAACUGCAUUUGAAACUAGUAGACUAGAGUAUGGUAGAGGGGGGUAGAAUUCCUAGUGUAGCGGUGAAAUGCGUAGAUAUUAGGAGGAAUACCAGUGGCGAAGGCGGCCCCCUGGACCAAUACUGACGCUGAGGUACGAAAGCGUGGGGAGCGAACAGGAUUAGAAACCCGUGUAGUCC
rnacentral:rRNA from 1 species